rnacentral:rRNA from 1 species
AACGAACGCUGGCGGCAGGCCUAACACAUGCAAGUCGAACGCCCUAGCAAUAGGGAGUGGCAGACGGGUGAGUAACACGUGGGAACGUGCCCUUCGGUUCAGAAUAACUCAGGGAAACUUGAGCUAAUACCGGAUACGUGCGAGAGCAGAAAGAUUUAUCGCCGAAGGAUCGGCCCGCGUCCGAUUAGCUAGUUGGUGAGGUAAUGGCUCACCAAGGCGACGAUCGGUAGCUGGUCUGAGAGGAUGACCAGCCACACUGGGACUGAGACACGGCCCAGACUCCUACGGGAGGCAGCAGUGGGGAAUAUUGGACAAUGGGCGCAAGCCUGAUCCAGCCAUGCCGCGUGAGUGAUGAAGGCCCUAGGGUUGUAAAGCUCUUUCGCCAGGGACGAUAAUGACGGUACCUGGAUAAGAAGCCCCGGCUAACUUCGUGCCAGCAGCCGCGGUAA